UACGGAGGGUGCAAGCGUUGUCCGGAUCCAUUGGGUUUAAAGGGUGCGCAGGCGGGCCAUUAAGUCAGGGGUGAAAGACGGUUGCUCAACAAUCGCAGUGCCUUUGAUACUGGUGGUCUUGGGUGACCUUGAGGUAGGCGGAAUGGGUGGUGUAGCGGUGAAAUGCAUAGAUACCACCCAGAACUCCGACUGCGAAGGCAGCCUACUGGAGGUUCACCGACGCUCAGGCACGAAAGCGUGGGGAUCAAACAGG
rnacentral:rRNA from 1 species